GAAAUGAAGUUAGUUAAAAUGGAAACUGUCAAUGAUGUCAAAUUAUAAAGUUUAUUUAAGUUUAUUAUUGCAAUAAAUAUAAUAAAGGGUCAAUUUUUCUUCAAUUCGUGUGGAAAAUGUUUUAAAAGGGAAAAUGGAAAUGUUGAGGUUAAGUUUGCAUCGAUAAAACUUUCAUCACGACAAAUUAAGAUAUUUGUUGUUCAACGGAACUUAUUUCGAUGAGUUUUUAAUAAAUAAAGCUUUGUUAGAAGAACGGAAUGUUGGAAUGAAAAGUUUUGUAGAAAAUUUGUGGUUAUAACGUUAUUUUGUUUCCGAACAACCUAAGUUGAAGUUUUGUAUAAAUACGAUUCAAAAGUGAUUGUUGUUAUUAAUAAAUUGAGGAAUCAUGUAGAUGUAGUA